AAAAAACAACGCUAAAAGUCCUCUAUUUCUCCACACGAAAUCAAAUGAAAAUUCGUUUGCUUUUUUCGUACCUUGUGAAGACGGCUUGGAUGCAUUCGGAUAAAUUGCUAGAGGGUUUGCAAGUGCAGCUGGAGGAUUAGCAGACGGAGUGCCUGAAUCUCUUUCAAUUGUUGUCCAGGGUGCAGUGCUCUGACCAGCUUUGCCAAUUUUGUGCCCAAGGUGCCAGUGCUGGCAACACCGAUAAUUUUGACAACUUUUUGGAUCAAACCGGACAGGCUUUCUCCGAGGCUGAUCGCACUUUUCGCGAGGGUGUCUUUGCAGCCUCCAAGAACCUAGUGUAUGCCGGCAACGUAGCCUUCGCCAAAGGAACCUUUUCCUUCCAGUUGGCUCUGAACGCUUUCGCCGAUCUGACCCGAUCUAUAAAGUGGCAAUUACUAAAACAAA